rnacentral:lncRNA from 1 species
CAUAUAUCAAUUUUAAUGAUUUUUAUUUAAAUUGAUUUAACUACUAAAUUAUUUUUAUAUAAUUUUUGUUUAAUUAAUAAUUAGACUUAUAAAACUAUAUAAAAUUAUUAAAAAAAUAAAAUUUAUUAUAAAAAUAAUUUUAUAUCCGCAGCAUCGCGCGGGUAAUUCACUAGUGUUCCCAAAAAUCCGGACUCUUUAAUUUAUUUUUUUAAAAGACUAAUAUAAAAAAUAUUUUUUUACCUUCUAAGUUAUUUCAAAUAUAUUUUGAAAGUUAAAUUUUAUUAGUGAACUGUUAGCAAUAGCUAUUAUUUAUAUAAAAUUACUAUUUUAUCCUUUCAAAUAUAUAUUUUUUUACUAUCACAAAUUUUUUUUAUUUGCUCCUAAAUUAGGGAUAAAAGAAGUAUUUUGAUUUUUAGUCUUUUUAAUUAAAUAUAUCUUUCUACCGUCACCAACUUUUCUUAAUUGCCCUUAAGUUAAGGGCAAUAGAGGUAUUUUGAUUUUUUAAUUCUGAUAGACAUUUAGCUCAUGCUUAAUUCGAGAUAACUUAACGGAUUGUAAAUACGGGAGUAUUUUUGAAUAACAGAGGAAUAUACGAGGGAUAUAUUAAAAACAAAAAAAGUAUAGAUAAAUUAAAUAUUUUCAAUAUUUUGAGAGUUAUAUAGGUAAUUAUCCAUUUUAAGUUAUUUAAUUUAGUCCCCUCCGUCAAAGUUUCAUCACUAUUUUGUCCAUUUUUUACAAUUUAUGUUGAAAAUAUCUUUCAAAAUGAUAUAAAUAUAGUAAAAAAUAUUUUUUUAUAAAAAAAAGAAAUUUGAUCAUUUUGCCAUCUGCAUUAACAUCAUAUUUUUUCUGAAAAUAUUUCUGAAAUUUUAAGAGAACAAAAUAUAAUUAAAUUUUUGAACGUAGGAAGGAAAAGUAAGAAAUAAGUAUUUACAAGAAAAUUUUUUAUAUUUU